rnacentral:misc_RNA from 1 species
CUGUAAAGGACAGGAAAAAAAAAGAUGAAGAAAGCUGUGAUGAUGAUAGAGAAGAGACCACUUCGUUAGCUUGCUGGAGGAGCAGGUCUAGCUCAUAGGAUUGUUUUUCCACAAAUCGAGAUUCGGCUUGAAAGCGAGGUUGGGGCACAGUACAGCAAGUCUUGCGAGCUUGAGUUCGUGAGUUUCACUCGUCCUGCCAAUCUGUGGGUUGGCAUGACAUCUAGUGUUGUACAGCUUUCAAGGAGCGUUUCUCCAGUGAGGAGUGAUCACCUCAAGGCAGCCUCACAGGAACCGGGUGCUUACGUGGUUAGGCCAUUCCACGAGUUCCUGAAGCGAACGGGGGCCCUCAGACGCGAGGAGGCAUCAGUGGAAGGGAAGUGGCGGAAUCACAACUUCAGGUGGUCUCGCUGCUAUCCAGUCCCCCUUUCUCCUUCAUGUAUGCGCCAUUCGUAUAUCUGGGAGACGGAUCGUGCUUAGUGUGGCUUUGUCGAAGCCUUGGCUCUUGGGGGUUCGAGAGAGUUUUGUUCUCAUCACGGCCCCCCUCACCACCAUCGAUGUGUAGAAAGUCGCUUGCGAUACUUCACUUGCUUGGUCGGAGUGUGCGCCAGAGCAGUAUAUGGCCGUUUCCAUCGCGCCGCUGUAAAAAGACUGCGCUUGCUCAACGACGUAUGUCAUGCGUUUUGCGAGCGUGCUGCAGUCAUUUUUGCACCUUUUCUGGCGACUCAUGAUACAUACAAAGGUGAUGCCCUCUGGCUCGCAGAAAGCUGUUUCGCCUGGUUAAUAGAGGCCUCAUCCUAAGAAGCAUUGGUGGGUGUUUUUGAGGCACUGGACAAGGGUGGCGUCGCCUGCCCGCCGUUUGACUUGCUAUUGGAUCAAUGGUGCACCAGGAGCACAGCCAAUUAAACACAAUAAAGAGUUGCUCUUCCCUAUGUUAGAAACUCAUGCUUUGAUCGAUCGAGG